CAGUAGCCACGGUAAUACUAAGGGGGCUAGCGUUGUUCGGAAUUACUGGGCGUAAAGCGCACGUAGGCGGAUAUUUAAGUCAGGGGUGAAAUCCCGCAGCUCAACUGCGGAACUGCCUUUGAUACUGGGUAUCUUGAGUAUGGAAGAGGUUAGUGGAAUUGCGAGUGUAGAGGUGAAAUUCGUAGAUAUUCGCAGGAACACCAGUGGCGAAGGCGGCUAACUGGUCCAUAACUGACGCUGAGGUGCGAAAGCGUGGGGAGCAAACAGGAUUAGAUACCCCAGUAGUCCCUGUCUCUUAUAC
rnacentral:rRNA from 1 species